rnacentral:rRNA from 1 species
ACAUCCAGAGAACUUAGCAGAGAUGCUUUGGUGCCUUCGGGAACUCUGAGACAGGUGCUGCAUGGCUGUCGUCAGCUCGUGUUGCGAAAUGUUGGGUUAAGUCCCGCAACGAGCGCAACCCUUUAUCCUUUGUUGCCAGCGGUUCGGCCGGGAACUCAAAGGAGACUGCCGGUGAUAAACCGGAGGAAGGUGGGGAUGACGUCAAGUCAUCAUGGCCCUUACGGCCAGGGCUACACACGUGCUACAAUGGCGCAUACAAAGAGAAGCGACCUCGCGAGAGCAAGCGGACCUCAUAAAGUGCGUCGUAGUCCGGAUUGGAGUCUGCAACUCGACUCCAUGAAGUCGGAAUCGCUAGUAAUCGUAGAUCAGAAUGCUACGGUGAAUACGUUCCCGGGCCUUGUACACACCGCCCGUCACACCAUGGGAGUGGGUUGCAAAAGAAGUAGGUAGCUUAACCUUCGGGAGGGCGCUUACCACUUUGUGAUUCAUGACUGGGGUGAAGUCGUAACAAGGUAGGCGUAGCGAG